UGUUAAGCAGCACAUUAGUGCAAUCAGGAAUGUCCAAAAGACAUUUUUUUUUCAAUAUACAUACUAUGGAGUAGUGUGCAUUCCUUGGCAUGCAUGUAUGUUAUGAGCACUAUCUGAGGAAAACCUGCUCUUCAUAAACCAUGUCUUGGGUAUCACAGUAUGCAAGUUUAUGUAUUAGUAUUUCCUGAUUUUCACCAGUGUUGGCUUUUUUCCAUUAGAGAGCGACUUUACCAAGUAAACACUUUUUUUGUUUUCUGUAAAGUGCAUCCUUUUGCUAACCUGAGUGCCAUCAUAAUUUAUACUUUUUUUCAUGUAAGAGAGAAUACAAAGAUCUUCAGGCUUUAUUCUUUUGUAAAUGUCACCAGUUCCACAUACACUACUGUGUCUUGAAACUGGUUUUCCUCUGACCUUAUCAAGAACAGCAAUUUUCCUGUCUACUCUAACAACACCUGGGAUCUUGCCAAAAGAAAUCAGAAUCUAACGUAAAGCUCUGAGAGUAGCAGCUGAGUGUGAAAACAGAAGCGUGCCCAUCAGCCUUUGGAGGGCUUGUGUCAAAAGAGAGCUGCUCCAGUGUGACUGCAGUACCCAACUGAGUGAGCACCUGAGAAGGGCACACCACAGUUGAAAGGCUUUCUUUUGUGAAUGCACUGGUUUAGCUUAACAAAGGCUAAUAGGCAAAGGGCAAACAAAACAGCACUGUAGUGUCUUUCUGGAGAAGAAAGUCUUGGUGCCCACUGGAAUUUCAAAGAAUGACGCUGGCUUCAAAGAUCUUGUACCCUGUCAUAUUGAAAUAUAAUGCAAACUGUAUGGAGUGCCUUGGUCUGAUCUCAGCAACAGCAGCAGUGCUUGCCAGCAGUUCUCUAAGAACACAGGUUGGCAGAGAUACAAACAGAACGUGGAGGAGGCUCAAGGAAUCUGGCUUCCCUAAACUCAGGGAAUGGCAGUAUUAGGGAAAAGUAGGCACAGUUUCUACUCUGUCUUCUACUGCAUUUAAGAUACAGUUUAUUUGAAAUGCAGCUGCACUGUGUUAAUGAUAUCUUGUUUCAGCACGGCACUUUGGUUGCUAACUGCCACAGCCAUUGCUGCAGAGAGAAGAGAACAGUCAGUUUUGGUCACAGUCAAAAUGAGCUUGAUACCCAGGGACUGGAGCCAGAGCCCAGACUGAAAACAGAAGAUCUGCAUGAAUGCACCCUGAGAGAACUGCUGGAGGCCAAAGGGGUUUACUCUAAAGGAGUGAGAAAUUCUGGUAUUUAGAGGAUUACCUGGUUUUGCAAGACCAUAUGGCUACCCCAGAGAACAACCCACAGAGGCCUUGUUGCUGAACAGAGCAAGCUGCAUGUAAAUCCUCCAAACAGCACUUGGCUCUGCUGAGCAUUGACUUGCUCUGAAAUUUAUAGUAGUGGAACACACUCCAGCACCUGUAUGUGUUUAGCAGAAGAAGAAUUCUGCUGCUUAGUGUGAUCGGCUCUAAAGAAGAAAAGGGUAGGUGCCCAUUCAUGUUCGUGAUGAACUUUGGGUCAUCUUCUGAUAAUGACUUGGUAUAGAAAGAGAAGUGCGGAAAAAGAAAGAUUAAAGCGAUGCUCAGCUUAUUCCACAGAGUCUGAAUAAAAAUGAUCAGUGGUGAAAUCUCUCAUGCCAUUCUCAUUCUUGAGAAGUGGCAGAAAGCACCCCACCCUGGGAUUUUUUGAGAAACAAUAUGGAGUAAGAUCACUCAAAGAGCAGCAUGUAAGGGAACCAUGCCAACUAUAAAAUUGAAAUAUUGCACUCGUUUAAAUGGAGCCUCCCAGGCUCAUCUCUAGUUUGUAGAUUUCAUAGCAUCUUGUCUGGAUCUAAAGGUUCACGCUCCUGCUGCAGGAGGCCCUACAAAGUCAGACUCUCCACCACUAAAGUAAAAAUAUAACUGACCAAACCAUUCUUCCUUCUGCAACCAAAAUCCACCUUCUUUCUCAAGGUCUACAGCUACAUGAACCUUGAUAGCUUUCUGGGGGGGAAAUUCUCCAAAGUCACAAGGUGGUGCAAGGCCACUUGCAAAGGUCUUCUUAACCUACACACUGCAAAGCAGGACAUGUAGAAGGCAGACUUAUUUCAACUAUCAAAGACAAUGCAUUAAAAAAACCCAACGGUUGUACAGUGCCUCCCCCAUUAUUUCUCAAAUCCACUAUCUCACUUCUUUUUAGAUAAGGGCACCUGCACUCAUUUCUCAUAAACUCUUUCUUUUUUUUCUUUGAACAGAGGCCAUCUAUAUUUAUACCAGAAUGUAGAAUAAUAAAUUGCCCAGUCUGCUGCUAACCAUGGAGAAAAUCAGGAAGGGAAGCUGAAAUUUCAGAUUCUGAGACAGAAACUUACUUAAGUGUAAGAAUUGCAUGUAAAAUUUCUGGAAUCUCAUCCAAGUCCUUUCAAGAUUUUCAUGCACCAAACUAAACAUUUCUUUGGCUGUUGUCAAAUGCUGGGAAGCUGAGACGAGGAGGAGAGCAUGGUACUAAAUCACCAAGGUGGUAAAAACACAAUGAUCAGAUAAUCAAAUCUCACCUCUCACUGUUUCACAGAUGUCAUGUAUUUUGUUCUCUAUUCUCUUAAGCAUUGCCCAGUCUCUCAUGAUGUGUGCAAAUCCCCUAAAGUUUAGGAGAAAUUUCAGCUAAUUUCAGCUUGCAAUUUGAAAUCACUAGCCUAACACCAUCCCUAAUCUUUACACAGACUGCAGUCCCUGGAACUGACAUGGAAAAGGCUCUAUGCUUAAGAAACAUACUUUGAUUUUCAUAGGCAAGAGCUUUAUACACAGAUUCCUCUUAACUGUGUAAAUGACAGUUUAAACACACACCUCGUGGUUAUUCUCAUGCAUUCUUUAGCACCUUAAGAAUAGGGUAGUACUUUCAUGUUAUGUUGGCUUUGCAAAAUUUUGCCCUGAACCUGUAUGGUUGUAGGAAAAUCUAAUUGCUAUCUAAUUAAAUGUACUCAAUAUUAAAUUUCAAAGCCAUUUGCUUUUCUUUUUUCCAUGUUUUGGCAAGAGUGAAAUGAAAUCUGGCUACGUAAGGUACUUCAAAGUUACAGAAUCCUAACUGGCUUUUCUACAAGCUCCCUUUUAACAGUGUCACUUGAAUAAACAUUAUUGAAGGUUCAGAAAAUAAAUUAAAACAACCCCAAACAACAAAACCCCCAAAGAUGUUGUGUGCAUAUCAUCAAGUUUCUACCUGAUUCACCCAGAGCUUUUUAUUCAAAACCUCUUCUUAUCCAGACAGAAGCUUAGAUUUACCCAUUGGAGAGGCUGGGUGGAGAACCUGCUCUGCAACAGCUGCUCGCUGUCCACAGAUGAGCCAGAACAAAAUGUGUUGGCAUAGAGCACUUGCUUCAAAAUAGGUCAUGAACUCAGAAAAUCCAUUUAUAAACAUUGCACCAGUCUGCAGAACGGGGCACAUAUCCUGAGAAAGGAACCUCCUCUACCACCGUGGAGGAAAGCUCAUCUUCCCUUCUCCUCUCUGAAACUCCUGGCACGUGGAGAAGAAAAAGGAUUUCUGGAUCUCCUGCUCAUUCUAAAAUUGUUAGAAGGGAGAAGGAACUGUAUCCUGAGGCUCUGAAAAACAUCAAGAGGAGCUUGCAGUUUAAGAACCAAUUUGGUCACUACAGUGGUCAGGAGAGAAGUGAGCACAGAAUUGGCAGGAUGAAGUGGAGGAGAGUCUGGAAGAGAGGUUUUAAACAGACUCACAGUCAUUUUGUACUGACUGAAAAUGGUUUCCUUCUCAAAGAGUCUAGGGCCCUUCUCCAUUGCACAGUGAAAUCACUGAAAGCUCUCCAGACACUUUCAGAGAACUUUGGGUUAGGUCUUGUGGUCAUGUCUUCAGAGUAGAUGGUUUUAAUAAAGUGCAUUAACAGAUGUUUUCAAACGCUCCUAAAGUCAGUUCAGCUGUGGGAUCUUUGCAAGACAUGGGAUUGUUACCAGACUUGAGAAUAAAAACCACAGGUCCCUCCCCAGUUUAGUUUCUGGUGCUUGCAAAAAACUUCUGUGAUUAAAAGAGAAAGAAUUUGCAAGUCAUCUUACGAAAUAAGGGAGAAUCUAAUUCCACAAUUAACUAGGCCAUCAUCUAGCAAGUUCUCCACUCCUGCCAAGUGCUAUCAAUACUCUAAAAAGAGCCCUAUUAAUAAGAGAUGUUGUUAUUUGGAAUACACUGGGGUUGCCUAGUUCCAAAGAAACCAAAUAUGCUGACCAUGACACAGCACUCUGAACUUUCCACAUGAGAUCACUAGAUAUCUUUGAGAGUGAGAAAUGAGAAUGGGAUUACAUAUUCAGUAUACAAAAUACGGAAUCACUUUCUAUAUCUAGGGUUGCCUCAAGUUAAAUGGCAAGAAUGGGUUGAAGUACUUUCCCUCUUAAAAAAAGGGAACAAAAAAGACAGCAGGAUAUAUGUCCUCCCUUUCCUGCAUUAUCUGAUAAUGCCAAACACUUGUAAUGCUCUAUUUUGUGUUUACCAGCACUGAAUACUGUAGUCUGAUGCAAAGCAGAACUUGUUUCUAAUAAAGAAAAUUGAAAGUAA